AUUGAACGCUGGCGGCAGGCCUAACACAUGCAAGUCGAACGCGUGGCGGACGGGUGAGUAAUGUCUGGGAAACUGCCUGAUGGAGGGGGAUAACUACUGGAAACGGUAGCUAAUACCACAUACCCUCAGAUGUGCCCAGAUGGGAUUAGCGUGUGGUGGGGGUAACGGCUCACCAAGGCGACGAUCCCUAGCUGGUCUGAGAGGAUGACCAGCCACACUGGGACUGAGACACGGUCCAGAAUCCUACGGGAGGCAGCAGUGGGGAAUAUUGCACAAUGGUAGCAAGCCUGAUGCAGCCAUGCCGCGUGUAUGAAGAAGGCCUUCGGGUUGGAAAGUACUUUCAGCGGGGAGGCGUUACCCGCAGAAGAAGCACCGGCUAACUCCGUGCCAGCAGCCGCGGUAAUUC
rnacentral:rRNA from 1 species